AAUCUUCCACAAUGGGCGAAAGCCUGAUGGAGCAACGCCGCGUGAGUGAAGAAGGUUUUCGGAUCGUAAAACUCUGUUGUAAGGGAAGAACAAGUACAGUAGUAACUGUCUGUACCUUGACGGUACCUUAUUAGAAAGCCACGUCUAACUACGUGCCAGCAGCCGCGGUAAUACGUAGGUGGCAAGCGUUGUCCGGAAUUAUUGGGCGUAAAACGCGCGCAAGCGGUCCUUUAAGUCUGAUGUGAAAGCCCACGGGUCAAACGUGGGGGGUCAUUGGAAACUGGGGGACUUGGGUGCAGGAGAGGAAAGUGGAAUUCCAAGUGUAGCGGUGAAAUGCGUAGGGAUUUGGAGGAACACCAGUGGCGAAGGCGACUUUCUGGUCUGUAACUGACGCUGAGGCGCGAAAGCGUGGGGAGCAAACA
rnacentral:rRNA from 1 species